rnacentral:rRNA from 1 species
AUGUUCUUGCCAGUUGAUGCACAAAGGAUCCUUGCAAUUCCUUUAUCACAACAUGAUAUGUCGGAUUUUGUCGCUUGGAGCUAUUCAAAGAAUGGAACUUUUUCUGUUUGAUCAGCCUAUGCAGUGCAAUGGGAACACCAAUACGGGGGAAAAUUAAGAAGAACCGAUGAUAUGGGACAUAUGACUAUCAAUCCCAUUUGGAGUGAGAUUUGGAAAUUAUCUUGUCCAUCGAACGUUAAAAUUUUCAUUUGGCGCACACUGCAUGAUACCCUCUCCUGUAGAGUUAAUUUGACGAAUAGACAUAUAAAGGUUACCCCCAAUUGUCCGGCAUGUUCCUUUGGAUCAGAGGAUACAAAGCAUAUAUUAUUUCAGUGUCAUAAAGCAAAGGAGGUUUGAAAAAAACUGGGUCUAGAUCAGGUCACUAAAAGAGCGUGCGAAAUUGAUUAUGCUGGUGAGGCGGUGCUUGAAUUUUUGCUUUCUAUGCCUAAAUGGGAGCUUACGAUCUUGGGUAUUCGAAAUGUCCGUGAAUUAAUUGCAAUUUCAACUUGGUAUUUAUGGUGGGAGAGGCGAAAACUGGUCCAUAAAGAGAAAACCCAAGAUGCUAACCAAAUCGCCAUGGGAAUUCGUGCAAUUACAUUAAACUAUGUUUUGGCUAUAUCACCAAAGGCUACGAUGAAAAGACCAAGGGGGUUUGUAAAACUUAAUGUGGAUGCUUCUUUUGAUCAUGACCGGCUCAGGGGAACGGCUGGUGAUGAUAAAGGAAAAUUCAUUGCAAGGGGGAAUUGGAGAAUUCAUUGGUGCAUGGACAUUCUGACGGUUGAAGCUAUGACACUUAGAUAUGGUCUAUCUAUUGCUCAAAGGGCAGGCUGUAACCGCUUAGUUAUUAACUCAGAUAACAUUGAGGUCAUCGAAACCAUGAACAAUGGAGGACGGUCAUCUAGUACAGCGGCGGCAGUGUUUGACAAUUGUUAUUUUUUAGCAUGUGACUUCCUAUUACUAAAUUUGAGCAUCAUAAUAGAGAAGCAAAUAGGGUCACACAUGAACUUGCUAAGUUAG